UACAGAGGUCUCAAGCGUUGUUCGGAUUCAUUGGGCGUAAAGGGGGCGUAGGCGGCGCGGUAAGUCGGGUGUGAAAUCUCCGGGCUUAACCCGGAAAGGUCAACUGAUACUGUGCGACUAGAGUGCGGAAGGGGCAACUGGAAUUCUCGGUGUAGCGGUGAAAUGCGUAGAUAUCGAGAGGAACACCUGCGGCGAAGGCGGGUUGCUGGGCCGACACUGACGCUGAUGCGCGAAAGCCAGGGGAGCGAACGGG
rnacentral:rRNA from 1 species